rnacentral:rRNA from 1 species
UACAGAGGUGGCAAGCGUUGUUCGGAAUUACUGGGCGUAAAGGGCGCGUAGGCGGUCUUGCAAGUCCCGUGUGAAAUCCCUCGGCUCAACUGAGGAAUUGCACGGGAAACUGCUUGGCUUGAGAUCGGGAGAGGGAAGCGGAAUUCCGGGUGUAGCGGUGAAAUGCGUAGAUAUCCGGAGGAACACCGGUGGCGAAGGCGGCUCCUGGACCGACACUGACGCUGAGGCGCGAAAGCUAGGGGAGCAAACGGG